rnacentral:rRNA from 1 species
CCUACGGGUGGCAGCAGUGAGGAAUAUUGGUCAAUGGGCGCGAGCCUGAACCAGCCAAGUAGCGUGCGGGAAGACGGUCCUAUGGAUUGUAAACUGCUUUUAUCCGGGAAUAAAAGGCGCCACGCGUGGCGUUUCGAGAGUACCGGAAGAAUAAGCACCGGCUAAUUCCGUGCCAGCAGCCGCGGUAAGACGGAGGAUCCGAGCGUUAUCCGGAUUUAUUGGGUUUAAAGGGGGCGAAGGCGGAAGUUAAAGGCGGCGGUAAAAUUGAGAGGCUCAACCGCUGCGAGCCGGCGAAACUGGGUUGCUUGAGUGAGCGAGAAGUAUGCGGAAGUCGUGGUGUAGCGGUGAAAUGCUUAGAUAUCACGAAGAACUCCGAUUGCGAAGGCAGCAUACCGGAGCUCAACUGACGCUGAUGCACGAAAGUGCGGGUAUCGAACAGGAUUAGAUACCCGAGUAGUC